rnacentral:rRNA from 1 species
GAAACGAAUGCGACUAGCAAAGCACCCGUUGCAGAUUCAGCCUGGUCGACGUGCGUCGGUAGGYKUGCGGAUCUGAAUAGACCGCAGYCGRCUUGACGGCACGUGGGCCUGUCGCAAUUCUGCCCGGUGCGAGCCAACGUCGGUCGGUAGUCGACGUUCCGUAGCUUCGUCAGGUGGUCCGCGACUUCGGUGGCGGUCGUUAUAGGCGUAGCGACAAGGGCGUCGAGACGGAUCGAGGAGACGAGUUGUCUCGGUGGCGGCCCGCGCGCUUUUGUGCUAGAGGCGGCCGGCUGGCGUUCGGCGUCGGUUCUCGGACUGCAUGCAGUGCGAGUUUCGAUCGUCGGAGCGAGUCGGUCAGUCUUUCAUACGCGGGCCUAGGUCGUUGGCGGUAAAAUGGUCUCAUCCGACCCGU